AAAAGAACUUUCCAGGGGAUUUUUCUAUACACCACAAAUGCAACAAAAGGAAGGGGUCCCACGUGUUUUUUUUCCUUUUUUUCCAAUUGAUAAAGAGAUAACAUUGAAAGGGGAGGCCCACACACAAUACCUCACACCAGAACACAUGUCAUUUAUAUAUACACAUUCUCUUCCAUAUAGGCUCCAUCAUCAAUAUACUCAAAAAGCAGACACAAAAGCUUUCUUCUUCAUUGGAAAAUAGAUAAAAGAAAAACCCCCACGCCAUUGAUAGAUGCUGGCCAUUUUUUGGCUUCUUCUCCGUAAUACCCAUCACAAAAAGAAACACUCAUAUCGUCACACACAGAAUAUAUAAAAGGAGCACAAUUUUCACGGGUGGGUCACGGUUUCAUCGACGUUCAGCUAGAGAUAAGCUUUUCCGACGAUCGGAGCUCUGGUUAUCAGAAGUGGCGACCUUGCUCUAAUUCCGUCACUACCCAUUUAAGCUUAAGUUAAAAUCUGCGAUUUAAGUUCGGGUUCAGGUUUUCGAUCAGAUUUUAGAUCUAUUCGAGGUUGAAUUCAACUGGAAUUGGGAGGUUCGAUGUUCUGAGAUCGGUUCGAGGCAUUCCGGUUAGAGCUCUAAUCAAAAUACUUCAACAGAUUGAAAUAAAAAAUUGAGGAAUGAAUGUCGUUGAACGUGAUAGAAUUACGAUAUGUUGAAAUUGAUUGGCAAACAUAGGUCAGGUAGGCGAAUUUAGGGACUGUGGAUUGAUGGGAUAUUUGAACUGUGUGAUUGAAUAGUUUUUGGCUUUAUCGCUUUGGGGUCACUUGUAUCAUUUGGCCGGGGAAUGCCCCGAAGUACUUGUAUUAUUUUAUUCGGGAAAUAUCUCGAAAUAUUUUGUACUCGAAGGACGUUCGUGAUGAAGGCCCAAGGCAUUGGGUGAGACAUUGGAGCUUAGUCUAGGAUUAGUUUAGAAUAAAAUUUAUAUUUUUUGUAUUUUUCUAUUUUUGGAACUGUAUAACUCAAAUUGGACACUAUUUUUGAUUCGUUUUGUUUUG